GUACCUCUUUCAAACAAAGCCUU
rnacentral:siRNA from 1 species